UACGGGGGGGGCAAGCGUUGUUCGGAAUUACUGGGCGUAAAGGGCUUGUAGGCGGCCAACUAAGUCAUACGUGAAAUCCCUCGGCUUAACCGGGGAACUGCGUCUGAUACUGGAUGGCUUGAGUGUGGGAGAGGGAUGCGGAAUUCCAGGUGUAGCGGUGAAAUGCGUAGAUAUCUGGAGGAACACCGGUGGCGAAGGCGGCAUCCUGGACCACGACUGACACUGAAACGCGAAAGCCAGGGGAGCAAACGGG
rnacentral:rRNA from 1 species